UAAUUACCAAACGUUCCAGGUGCCCGUGAAGGGAGAAUAGGGAACCGGGUGCAAAUCCCGGACGGACCCGCCACUGUGAAGGAGAGCAGAUGCCAAACCACUCCGCAAGGGGGAAGGGGCAUUCAAUGCGAUGAACCUGAGUCAGGAGACCUGCCUGGAAUGGUCUAUGCCG
rnacentral:ncRNA from 2 species